AUUGAACGCUGGCGGCAGGCCUAACACAUGCAAGUCAAACGAGUGGCAGACGGGUGAGUAAUGUCUGGGAAUCUGCCUGAUGGAGGGGGAUAACUACUGGAAACGGUAGCUAAUACCGCAUACAAUAAGAUGUGCCCAGAUGGGAUUAGCUUGUGGGUGGGGUAACGGCUCACCAAGGCGACGAUCCAUAGCUGGUCUGAGAGGAUGACCAGCAACACGUGAACUGAGACACGGUCCAGACUCCUACGGGAGGCAGUAGUGGGGAAUAUUGCACAAUGGGCGCAAGCCGGAUGCAGCCAUGCCGCGUGUAUGAAGAAGGCCUUCGGGUUGUAAAGUACUUGCAGCGGGGAGGCGUUACCCGCAGAAGAAGCACCGGCUAACUCCGUGCCAGCAGCCGCGGUAAUUC
rnacentral:rRNA from 1 species